GGCCCUCUCGGUGAUGAGGACCUUCUCACAGACCUGUACUGAGCAUUGUGAGGACAGUUUGACUCUGAGGACGCGGGCCCUGCACCCGGAUGGCGGCCGCUGGCGUUUGCAGGGAGGAAGAAGGUGCAGGGCCCCGCUGCUAACAAGCUCCGUUCUCCGCAGGAGAAGGCGCGCGCUGCGGGCGCCGGAGAGGCGGGCCGUCUGAAGAUGUGCCCCUCGGCAGAGCUUCUGGCUUGGUGCAUGGGAUGGGGGCGCAGCAGGCCCAGAGCCUCCGACAGGCCCCGCCCCCUGAAGCGGCUCCCCCCAAGCCCCGCCCUCAGGUGAAGUUCAGCGCCUCACUACCAAUCCUGAUGAAUCCGAAAGCUUCCGGGUGAAUGCAGGUGGUCCUGCUAACUGCAUUCAUGCGUCUUAGGUGAAUCUUUGUUGCCUGGCUACCGGUAAAACAGC